rnacentral:tRNA from 1 species
GGCACCGUAGCUCAGCUGGUUAGAGCGCAGGACUCAUAAGCCUGAGGUCGGUGGUUCGGGCCCACCCGGUGCUACCA